rnacentral:lncRNA from 1 species
CUAACAGCGCCACUCCCUAUGGCCGAGCGUCUACAGCGGCCAUGCCUAUUCAAACCACCACAGCGACCAUCAUUGCAUGCUGUGUUCUGGUUCCAAACCUGCCUUCUCUACUAACAGACCAGGGCGCCCACACUCACUAGAACUUCCUAGAAAGAACCCAGCAUGCCUUAUGCCACAAAGGGAGAUCUGUCCGUCUGUCCCUGCAAUGCUCGGAAAACACCCCCCAGAAUGAACCAAGAAAGCACUGCUGUUGGCUAUCCGUUGAUGUUGGUGGCUUCCAGGGCUGUGCGUAUCUGAGGCUGCCCUGGUCACUUUUGGAACCUGGAACCUCACCAAAAGGAGCAGAGGCAAAUGGUGCUGUAAACAUGGGGUGUGAAGGCCUACCCUCUGGGAGAUGACCACACAUGGAAAUGGCUACUGGAGAGGCCAGCCCCUCUCAUCAGAGCGACCCCCACAGCACCUCCACUGAGCCUUCUCUGCGCUGGGCUGGAAGUUGGGGUGACAAGUGAACCAGACAGGUUCUUGUCUCCAUAGGGGCUAAGUUGGGUGAGGGAAGACAGCAGGUUCGCGAACAAGUACAGGCUUUUCUUGUACUCCAAGGAAGAAGGAAGACAAGGGGAUCCCAAACUAGUCACACUUGAAAGGCUGCUUGAGUGACUUUUCAGGCACUCAUCCCAGAACAGAAGCCAGGCCUUGGGAGGAGGCUGGCCACACUCAACACCAUGCAGUAGUAAGAGGGAAGACAGGAGGAGAUUGUCCAGCAUUGUUGAGCUCAUCUUGUAACACCACCGCCAUUGAGAGAAACUCGCCCAAGAACUGCUCAUGGGGUUCCUGAAGCAGCUUGCUGCUUCCUCUUCCUCACUUCAGGCAGGCUGGUGAGCCUGGUGGUUUCUUCAGGAUUGAAAUAAAGAUGUUGGUUCUGUGUGGCGUCUGCCUGCCUAGAGGAUUGGACUGAAGCUGCUGGGUGGUAUUUGGUGUUUGCUACAGGACCAAACUGCUGCCGAGGAGGAUCAAGCUCACCCCCAAAGAGCUAUGCUCAACAGGUCUGCUUCCCCCAUCCUAAUAACUUUUCUCUUCCACUGCCUCUCCUGGGGGGUUGGUUAAAG